rnacentral:rRNA from 1 species
UACAGAGGUCCCAAGCGUUGUUCGGAUUCAUUGGGCGUAAAGGGUGUGUAGGUGGCGCGCUAAGUCGGGUGUGAAAUUUCGGAGCUUAACUCCGAAACUGCAUUCGAUACUGGCGUGCUUGAGGACUGGAGAGGAGACUGGAAUUCAUGGUGUAGCAGUGAAAUGCGUAGAGAUCAUGAGGAAGACCAGUGGCGAAGGCGGGUCUCUGGACAGUUCCUGACACUGAGACACGAAGGCUAGGGGAGCAAACGGG